GUCCCGUUAGCUCAGUUGGCAGAGCACUUGACUUUUAAUCAAGGGGUCAUAAGUUCGAAUCUUAUACGGGACACCA
rnacentral:tRNA from 2 species